GAUGAACGCUGGCGGCGUGCCUAACACAUGCAAGUCGAGCGAAGCACUUACUUUAGAUUUCUUCGGAAUGACGAAGUUUGUGACUGAGCGGUGGACGGGUGAGUAACGCGUGGGCAACCUGCCCUGUACAGGGGGAUAACAGUUAGAAAUGACUGCUAAUACCGCAUAAGCCCACAGCUUCGCAUGAAGCAGUGGGAAAAACUCCGGUGGUACAGGAUGGGCCCGCGUCUGAUUAGCUAGUUGGUAAGGUAACGGCUUACCAAGGCGACGAUCAGUAGCCGACCUGAGAGGGUGACCGGCCACAUUGGGACUGAGACACGGCCCAAACUCCUACGGGAGGCAGCAGUGGGGAAUAUUGCACAAUGGGGGAAACCCUGAUGCAGCGACGCCGCGUGAGCGAUGAAGUAUUUCGGUAUGUAAAGCUCUAUCAGCAGGGAAGAAAGUGACGGUACCUGACUAAGAAGCCCCGGCUAACUACGUG
rnacentral:rRNA from 1 species